GAUGAAGAACGUAGCGAAAUGCGAUAAGUAAUGUGAAUUGCAGAAUUCAGUGAAUCAUCGAAUCUUUGAACGCACAUUGCGCCCUUUGGUAUUCCGAAGGGCAUGCCUGUUCGAGCGUCAUUUCACCACUCAAGCCUGGCUUGGUAUUGGGCGCCGCGGUCGAUCCGCGCGCCUCAAAGUCUCCGGCUGAGCUGUCCGUCUCUAAGCGUUGUGAUUUCAUUAAUCGCUUCGGAGUGCGGGCGGCCGCGGCCGUUAAAUCUUUCACAAGGUUGACCUCGGAUCAGGUAGGGAUACCCGCUGAACUUAAGCAUAUCAAUAAGGGAGGA
rnacentral:misc_RNA from 1 species